GAUGAACGCUAGCGGCAGGCUUAAUACAUGCAAGUCGAGGGGCAGCGCAGUGUAGCAAUACAUGGGCGGCGACCGGCAAACGGGUGCGGAACACGUACAGAACCUUCCUUCGAGCGGGGAAUAGCCCAGAGAAAUUUGGAUUAAUACCCCAUAGUAUAUUAGAGUGGCAUCACUUUAAUAUUAAAGAUUUAUCACUUGAAGAUGGCUGUGCGGCUGAUUAGGAGUUGGCGGGGUAACGGCCCACCAAGCCAGCGAUCAGUAACUGGUGUGAGAGCACGACCAGUCACACGGGCACUGAGACACGGGCCCGACUCCUACGGGAGGCAGCAGUAAGGAAUAUUGGUCAAUGGACGCAAGUCUGAACCAGCCAUGCCGCGUGGAGGAUGAAGGUCCUCUGGAUUGUAAACUUCUUUUAUAUGGACGAAAAAGGCUUUCUAAGUCGUCUGACGGUACCAUAUGAAUAAGCACCGGCUAACUCCGUGCCAGCCGCCGCC
rnacentral:rRNA from 1 species